UUUGUACAGUGUUAAUAAAGUUGUGUGUUUGUACAGUGAUAAUAAAGUUGUGUGUUUGUACAGUGAUAAUAAAGUUGUGUGUUUGUACAGUGUUAAUAAAGUUGUGUGUUUGUACAGUGUUAAUAAAGUUGUUUGUUUGUACAGUGUUAAUAAAGUUGUGUUUGUACAGUGUUAAUAAAGUUGUGUGUUUGUACAGUGUUAAUAAAGUUGUGUUUGUACAGUGUUAAUAAAGUUGUGUGUUUGUACAGUGAUAAUAAAGUUGUGUGUUUGUACAGUGUUAAUAAAGUUGUGUUUGUACAGUGUUAAUAAAGUUUUGUGUUUGUACAGUGUUAAUAAAGUUGUGUGUUUGUACAGUGAUAAUAAAGUUGUGUUUGUAUAGUGUUAAUAAAGUUGUGUUUGUAUAGUGUUAAUAAAGUUGUGUUUGUACAGUGUUAAUAAAGGUGUGUUUGUACAGUGUACGGGUGAAUAUCAGGAUAUUAUUGGUUGAUCAGUUAGUUCAUGCUGACGUAAGCACGCGUCACAUUUAGUUUCACAGGAAGGCACAAUGAUUGGUUUUAAUAUAAAAAUACAGAGAAAUUGCCAUAUGUUGUACUGUUUA